CCCGGCAGUGGGGCGGCUUCGCGGGUCACAUCUCCGGCGAAUCGCCGGGCCACCGCGGCGGAGUGAAAAAGAAGCCAUCCGGGUGAAAUGCCUGAGAACUGAAUAAGCAAAAGGAAGCGGAGCAGCGGGUCGUGGUUUGAUUUGGAACAGACCAUGUGAGGCGACCAGGAGCGCCACCACCUCUCGGGGCCCCGCCGCCUCUGCGGCUCCCCCUGCGAACGGGAGAGACGACGAAGAUGCCCGUCGCUGUCGCGCAGGUUCGAUUUUUCCACGGUUUUUAAUUAGUUUUUGGGUUUUGCUGAACUGUACGGUCGCGAU
rnacentral:lncRNA from 1 species